rnacentral:misc_RNA from 1 species
GAUGAAGAACGCAGCGAAAUGCGAUAAUUAAUGUGAAUUGCAGAAUUUAGUGAAUCAUCGAAUCUUUGAACGCACAUUGCGCCCCUUGGUAUUCCGAGGGGCAUGCCUGUUCGAGCGUCAUUAUAACCCCUCAAGCUCAGCUUGGUGUUGGGGCCUGCUGCACUGGCAGCCCUUAAAAUCAGUGGCGGCGCCAUCUGGCUCUAAGCGUAGUAAUUCUUCUCGCUAUGGAGUCCUGGUGGAUGCUUGCCAUCAACCCCCAAUUUUUCUAUGGUUGACCUCGGAUCAGGUAGGGAUACCCGCUGAACUUAAGCAUAUCAAAACGGAGGA